ensembl:rRNA 5S_rRNA 5S ribosomal RNA
GCCAGCAUCCAUGCUACCUAGGGUUGUGAUCUUGUCAGAUCUCAUAAGCUAAGUAAGAUUAGGUCAGGUCAAUACUUGGAUGAAAGACCUCCAGGGAAACCUCAGGUGUUGUGGGAA